CAUGUACUACAUUGUAUGAAUGAGAUUUUAUGCUUGCAUAUUUCUAUGUGAAAAUGUCUUUGUUAUCUUCUUUGUUUUUUCUGUUUGACUCUCUUUCCCCUUUCUAUUUUUCUCCAGGUUGUUGGUCUUAAUGUCUCAUCAGCCACUACCCCUGAGCUAUUAUUAAAGAGGUUUGAUCAUUACUGUGAGUACAAGAGGACUCCCAAUGGAGUUGUGAUGGCUCCUUCUCAACUCGGAAAGUGGCUGGUUCUCUUCUGUGAUGAGAUUAACCUUCCAGACCUUGACAAAUAUGGUACUCAGAGAGUAAUAUUGUUCUUACGUCAGAUUGUCGAGCACGGCAGAUUUUGCAGGAUCUCCGAUCACACGUGGGUGACAAUAGAGAGGAUACAGUUUGUAGGAGCGUGUAACCCACCGACUAACCGGGGAAGGAAACCACUGUCUCACAGGACGUUGAGAGCUACGACCCAAUCUUGAACCCUGUCCUAUCCUAGACGACAACAGAAUCAUUACUGAGCUUGAGACUCUUAAGGAAGAGGCUCCAGAAGUUCAGAGGAAGAUGGAGGAGACUGAUACUGUAAUGGCUGAAGUUGACAGAGUCUCCCAGCAAUACCUGCCUCUCUCCACCUCCUGCUCUGCCAUGUACUUCACUCUGGAGUCACUAAA